rnacentral:lncRNA from 1 species
CCGGAAGCGGCGGUGCAGGGAGCUGCAGGAGGAGAGCGGUCUGACAGUGGACGCCCUGCACAAGGUGGGCCAGAUCGUGUUUGAGUUCGUGGGCGAGCCUGAGCUCAUGGACGUGCAUGUCUUCUGCACAGACAGCAUCCAGGGGACCCCCGUGGAGAGCGACGAAAUGCGCCCAUGCUGGUUCCAGCUGGAUCAGAUCCCCUUCAAGGACAUGUGGCCCGACGACAGCUACUGGUUUCCACUCCUGCUUCAGAAGAAGAAAUUCCACGGGUACUUCAAGUUCCAGGGUCAGGACACCAUCCUGGACUACACACUCCGCGAGGUGGACACGGUCUAGCGGGAGCCCAGGGCAGCCCCUGGGCAGGAGACGUGGCUGCUGAACAGCCGCAAACCAUCUUCACCUGGGGGCAUUGAGUGGCGCAGAGCCGGGUUUCAUCUGGAAUUAACUGGAUGGAAG